rnacentral:rRNA from 1 species
UACGUAGGGUGCGAGCGUUAAUCGGAAUUACUGGGCGUAAAGCGUGCGCAGGCGGUUCGUUGUGUCGGUGGUGAAAUCCCCGGGCUUAACCUGGGAAUGGCCAUGGAAACUGGCGAACUGGAGUGCGGCAGAGGGGGGUGGAAUUCCGCGUGUAGCAGUGAAAUGCGUAGAGAUGCGGAGGAACACCGAUGGCGAAGGCAGCCCCCUGGGCUAGCACUGACGCUGAGGAGCGAAAGCGUGGGGAGCGAACAGG